rnacentral:tRNA from 1 species
GACCGCGUAGCUCAGUUGGAAGAGCAUUGGGCUAGUAUUCCAAAGGUCGUAGUUUCGAAUCCCACCGUGGCCG